GACGUAGGAUGCGAGCGUUGUCCGGAUUUAUUGGGCGUAAAGAGUUCGUAGGUGGUUUGUUAAGUCUGAUGUUAAAGAUUGGGGCUCAACCCUGAAACUGCAUUGGAUACUGGCAGACUUGAGUGUGGUAGAGGCUAGUGGAAUUCCCAGUGUAGCGGUGAAAUGCGUAGAUAUUGGGAAGAACGCCGGUGGCGUAGGCGACUAGCUGGGCCAUAACUGACACUGAGGAACGAAAGCCAGGGUAGCGAAUGGG
rnacentral:rRNA from 1 species